CCUUCCUGUGACCAAGUGUUCUCAUUGUUCAAUCCCACCUAUGAGUGAAAUAUCUCUUCUUUUUGCUCUUUAGGUUAGAAUUAAUCCAACUAUGCCUGAAGUGACAUUUUUAGGGAUACAAAUGAUCUUACCUUUAAGCCUUGAACAGAAAGUCACUGUGUAGAAAUCUAGUGGAUUAUGCCCUUACUAUCUGACUCUAAUCUUUCCUGAGAGUCUGCUUUGCUGUUUUUGUUACCUUUCAUAUACUGUUUACCAUGUGCCAGAUCCUACAUAAAACACUUCACAUACACUGUCCCAUUUGCCCUUCAUAAAACUUCUGGACCAGAAUGUUUUACCAACUGCAGAAGCUUUCCCUCUUUUCUACAAUUAUUGAGUGUACUUCCCAUCAGACAAUGCUUUCCAUAUCAGAAAUGCAAAAAUGAAAGCUCAGACUAGGAGACAGAUGUUAAAAAAAAAAGUAGUAAAAGUGAUAAAUGUGGCUGGGCGCGGUGACUCACGCCUGUAAUCCCA
rnacentral:lncRNA from 10 species